AUUGUUUAAAUGGUAGUGAUGUAUAUAUGAAAAGAUGUGAAAGGUCGCAGUGUAGUUCAAAGUAAAGAAUCCUUGAUAGAUCCUGCAUUUGUAAUAUGAUGGUAUAUGGAUCUACACUAUUUUGCAGUCCGUGUCAAGAUUAUGUUAAUCAUUUUUCUUUUGUCAGCAAUACAAGUUGCAAUCACUAAUAACAUAUUCAUUAUAUCUUAAUUCAUUUCUAAAGUCCAACGUUUAUCGAUAUGUUGCUUUGGUGCUUUCCUUUAGAAGGGAGUGUACAUUGAACAACUCUUACAAUAAAGAUACCUUCGUCUAUUGAUUUCAAUUAAUUUUCUUUGAUAGGUGCUAUUAAAGUUUGAGCCCCGUUUUAAUAUGUAGAAUCUGCCACAGUUGCUUGGGUAUAUGAUGCAGAUUUUAAAAUAUUCAAUUUUAUAUAUUUAUACUACAUAUCUAUCACAACUGUGCAUGACAUACCUAGUUUUGAUUGAUUUUACCAACUCGCAGAAAGAAAAGAAACAAAUUUACUUUUUUUAACAUUCAUAAAUUAUUUAUUGCCCUCUCUGCUGUUUUAACAAAUUACUUAAUGUACA
rnacentral:lncRNA from 1 species